UUAGGCUGCAUCCUGCUUUUACCACCCAGAUAAGAAACUGUGAGGAAUGCCCCGGGCUUCUGGGUUACUGCAGCGCCUGAGAAGGUGUCUCCCGGAGACAGAACUUGCGGUCUUCACACUGCUUAUUCUUGAGCAGCUUCAAACGAGCCUGGGCCUGAUAAUGGGAGGGAAUAUGAAGCAAGAACUUUUAACUGUGUUUUUUAACUCACCAAAACAGAUUUGCUGCCUGUAACUAUGGGGCAAAGGAUUCACUGCCUACAGCCCUGUGCAGGACUGUAUCACACACACACACACACACACACACACACACACACACACACACACACCUCUGACUUCUCAUUUCACAAUCUUUUGAUUUGGGUUUUUGUUUGUUUUGCUUUUUUGUUUGUUUUUGUUUUCGAGACAGGGUUUCUCUGUGUAGCCCUGGCUGUCCUGGAACUCACUCUCUAGAUCAGGCUGGCCUCGAACUCAGAAAUCCCCCUGCCUCUGCCUCCUAACGCUGGGAUUAAAGGCAUGUGCCACCACUGCCUGGCUCUCAUUUCACAAUCUUAAGUUUAUUUCUUUCUUUUCCCUUUGUUUAUUCAGUACACUACAGAAUUUAUUGCACAGACAGGGAUCCUGGAGGCAGAACAAUGGCACCAUGCUAUGUGUGGGUAAUAUAAAUCCAGGUUAUUUCUAAAGCACUGGAGGGUGAUGGGAGCCAGUCCGGGUGUGAACUCUCAGGCCACCAGCCAGCACUGAUCGCAGCCACUGAACUUCCCCCCUCUACCAUAGAAAGUGUCUCAGACUGAGCCAGUCCAGUCUCUCCACUCUUGCAUAGGGAACAUUGCCCAAAAUGUCCUCAAUCAGAUUGCCCCAGGUCUGCCUAAGUAUUACACUUAAAGUUGUACCACACAUUAUAAACAAAGGGAAUGUGGCUUGUUUUUAAAACUUUAUAAUAAAGUGGUACACAUUGUGGUGUGUUCUUACAAUGAAGUACUACUUAGCUGUUAAAACAAUGAAAAUUUGUAUUCAUUUGUAUUAUUUGUACAAACAUGGGAAGGUGGCUUUGAGAAAUUAUUUAAUAAAACAUUAUUCUUGACAAUAUAUAUAUAUAUAUGUAGUGACAGAGAGAGAGAGGUGUCCCCAGCAUGUAGGACACUGCUUAUGACAUUGUAGGCAGUCACUGUAUACCUGUUGGAUCAUCACGUCAGAAAUGGCUGUAGCUGAGCCUGGUAACACAGGCCUGAUAGUCCCAUAUUUAUUAGCUCAGCCUUGAACUUUCUGCCUCGAACAUUAUUAUUAGAUCUUAGGGGUUGGGGGAAAACAACACUCCUUGUGGAGUGGCUGAAACGAGGGUAAUUGGGGAGGGGCAGCUGUCAGCAUUGAAAGGAGAACAGGAAAGGAAGGCAUGGAAGGGGUGGUAGAGGAGAGAAGAUGAACUCAUUUCUCAUAGCUGUCCUUAAAUGGGCUGAGAUGAGCCUCAGAGUAGUUUCUGGAAACCUCUGCCUUUGGAACCCUUUCCAUGAGGAGUCAGGACAGCCAGUCUCCACCCAAUGAGAGCUGUGGCCUGGGGGAAAGGCAGCAAGCCUAAGGCUUGUCUGAGGUUGCUGGGCACCCCUCCUCUCUGAAUCCAUCCUGAGUUUGGGGAAUGGGAUAACAGCUCCUUGCUGAGAGCAUCUGCUGGGCCCCUCCUGGAAAGCAGCCCAAGGAUGUAAACUGUUUAUAGAGAGUCUCCUGCGCCGAGAAACUUCUGUCUGCGCAUGCCUGGCAAGCUUAGACUGAAAGGAAUGACAGAGGCCAUGCCUGAGGACUGGGACAUCAACAUCUCAGGUUCCCAGAUGCUAUCCACUGCUGUCUGGAUGCUCGUGUGUAACCUCCAGGGAGCAGCUCUUUCCUGAGGACCUUUGCACACCUUUAACAACCUUUAACCUUUAACCUUUAACUUUCAAGCAGACCCGAGAGGUGCAGAAGCUGCCAUUUGCGCUGUGCCUUCGAAGAACACAACACUCAAGAGACACCUGGUAGCUUCUAGAAGGGCACAUAGCUAAUUUGUGGAGCAGCCAGAGCUGUCUCGCUUGUAGUGUCUUUCCUCCCUCGGCUGCUUGGCUCUGGACUGUUUCCUACAAGUUUGAGUGCAGCUGAGGUACUUCCCUUUCUUUAUACAAUUCUUGACAACACUCAAGAGGGGAAGGAAGGAAGCAGUAAACAGGCAUGGCCAUGGCUGCCAGUCACUUGGGUCUGUGUUUACUGUGUUUACACAUGGAUCGCUGCUGUCAAAGUCAAAAGGAGCAGGUCGUGGUGUCAAGACAUGGGCUAACCAUCUCACGCUGAGUUAAAAAGUCCAGAAGUCAUUCUGUAGACCAGGCUGGCCUUGAACUCAGAGAUCCGCCUGCCUCUGCCUCUUAAGUGCUGGGAGUUCCAGGACAGCCAGGGCUACAGAGAAACCCUGUCUUGG
rnacentral:lncRNA from 1 species